AAGACGCGAUGUGAGCUCCGGUGGGAACAGCAGCCCUUUGUCUCGUAACGGAUGUUGCUAUCUCUACAAUAGCCGGAGAAGACGAAACAAGUUUUGCAAUGCACACGGACUGGCUCAGUUGUGAAUGUCACAAAUGCUCCCCUAACGAGGAUCAAAUCAAUGAAAGGAUGGCCUUGAUAAAUAAUAUUCAUGAGGCGAAGAGGAAGUACCCAUACAUGAUGAGCUUUCAGAGGUGACUUUGCAAGACUGACUAAGAUUGACCCAUCACCUUGUAUUGCAAAAGGGAUCAACAAAAUUGUGAAAAUGGCAGAAAUGAAACACAUCCCUUGCGAAGCAAGUGUAAUGGCAUCACUUCAAAAGGCUCGUGAGAUGUCACCGGAGAGGCUGCGAACACGACGACCCGAGCGUUCCUGCAACCUCUUGCAUCGUAUUUUCUGGAGAAGAUGUUGAAGAGGCUGACCUCCACAUCAAGGUGGACCGCGAAAUGUUUGC
rnacentral:lncRNA from 1 species